rnacentral:rRNA from 1 species
CCUACGGGAGGCAGCAGUGGGGAAUAUUGGACAAUGGGCGAAAGCCUGAUCCAGCCAUGCCGCGUGAGUGAUGAAGGCCCUAGGGUUGUAAAGCUCUUUCGCAGGUGAAGAUAAUGACGGUAACCUGAGAAGAAGCCCCGGCUAACUUCGUGCCAGCAGCCGCGGUAAUACGAAGGGGGCUAGCGUUGUUCGGAAUUACUGGGCGUAAAGCGCACGUAGGCGGAUACUUAAGUUAGGGGUGAAAUCCCAGGGCUCAACCCUGGAACUGCCUUUAAUACUGGGUAUCUCGAGUCCGAGAGAGGUGAGUGGAAUUCCGAGUGUAGAGGUGAAAUUCGUAGAUAUUCGGAGGAACACCAGUGGCGAAGGCGGCUCACUGGCUCGGUACUGACGCUGAGGUGCGAAAGCGUGGGGAGGCAAACAGGAUUAGAUACCCUGGUAGUCCACGCUGUAAACGAUGGAAGCUAGCCGUCGGCAAGUUACUUGUCGGUGGCGCAGCUAACGCAUUAAGCUUCCCGCCUGGGGAGUACGGUCGCAAGAUUAAAACUCAAAAGGAAUUAGACGG